ACGUUAGCGGCGACGGGUGAGUAACACGUGGGUAACCUACCUAUAAGACUGGGAUAACUUCGGGAAACCGGAGCUAAUACCGGAUAAUAUUUCGAACCGCAUGGUUCGAUAGUGAAAGAUGGUUUUGCUAUCACUUAUAGAUGGACCCGCGCCGUAUUAGCUAGUUGGUAAGGUAACGGCUUACCAAGGCGACGAUACGUAGCCGACCUGANAGGGUGAUCGGCCACACUGGAACUGAGACACGGUCCAGACUCCUACGGGAGGCAGCAGGC
rnacentral:rRNA from 1 species